UUUAUCACCACCCUUAUCGAGUUCCAUUCACACUCCUGACCUAUGAACUCAUUUUCACCCUCAUCCCUCCCUCUUCAAAGUUGUCGUCGAACGCUUCUCCUCCGGUAGAAGGUGCUGUUGCCACCAACGGGACAGACCGUGGGUGCCUUUGUCAUCUGGGGAAGCUCUACUCGGCCCUCUUCGCAUCGUUCCCCCUCUCCUCACCGUCGCACGAAGUUCUGAGUUGAGCUCGUGGCGUCACCGUCGCGAAGGGUUCCUCCCCUCCUCGCCGUGCGUCGUUUCUGAUUCUCUGCUCCUCGCCGUUUUUGCCUUUGAUUUUGUGAUUUCAUUUUCGAUUUUGUGAUUGCAUAUCUGCUUCCUUUAAUUUUUUCUUAUGUCCUUAUCAACCUUUUGGUUUAGCUCUUUGAUUUCUUCCGUUAGAAUUUGUUCCUGCAGAAUUUGAUUUAGUUAGUUGCUUUCUGAUGCUUAAGUUUUUUUUAAUGGGAAUAAUCAAGUAAUCUAUCUUUUCUAGGGUUUGGUGGCUAUGCCCAAAGCUGACUUGAGUUCACUGUGAGUCACUAUUAAUUGCCACAAGCUCUUCUCUUUUUUUUCUUUAUUUGUUUGUUUGGAUCUUUAAUUUCGAGUAGCUGUGCUGUGAUUUAUGAUCUAUUCCACUCUUGGUUUCUUUUGAUGCUGUUUUUCUUCCUCUAAGAUUUUUAAUUGUUCAUUGUGUGAGUUGUCAAGCUGGGUCAAUUCGGUUUUUUUGUGUCUAGGGUUUAGCAACUAUGCAUUUUAGCUUCCUUUGCAUUUCUAUUCUUGGAUGUGCAUAAGAAUUUCGUUUCCAUUUGAUAUUUGGGUGACUAACAUUCCCAAAUUGCUGUUGUAAAAAUAAAAGGCUUUAUUUUAUUUAUAUUUUUAAAUGUGGAUGGAUUUUUUCUGUUGUUGGAGUUGAAAAUUGUCAUCUGUUUUAGGGUCUUCCAGCUAGUUAGGGAUUCUAGACAUGGAUAAGUUCACAUCUCAAGGAGAAAGGGUAGGUGAUAUUUUGUUUUGUGGAGGGUAAGAGUGUAAGACUAAGCUACUGAAGUGACCAUCACUGCAAGUUGGAGAUAUACCAUGUAAUUAGAGGAAGAAGAAAGAUUUUUGGUAUAUGGAAAACAAUGUUCUGUUAGUAUAUCACAAGUAGAAAACUUCUCGUGGUACUUUUGGCUAUUUGAGAGAGCAAUAGAUAGGGAAGAGACACUGCAUUUUUAUGUUCAUAUAAUUGUUGUGAAUUGAAGCAUCUUCUCUUCCUCAACUUAAUGACAGUUCUGGAAAGCAACUUGCAGAGGAUGUUGAUUUUGAAAAGCUUGUCUUCCUAAUUGUUGGAUUCUCAGGAGCAGAUAUAAGAAACCUUGUCAAUGAAGCAGCAAUAAUGAUGGUGAGUUUUUGCUGCAUUUGAUUUUAUUCUUUGUUGUGCUACUAACUUCCAGAUUUAGACCUACUGUAUGCAACAUCAUGGUGGUGUCUUCCGUGUGACUUUAAUAUGUCUGUAGUUGAAGGAAAUGUGAUUAAUCACAGUUAAGAACUAUAGGUUUUUUGGUAAGGGGAGUUAAUGUACAAAUGAUAGAGUUGAUGCAUUACAAAACAUUUAAAGGCUGCAGCAUCUAUUUGUUUUUUAAUCUGAGAAGGCUUGAAGUGAGUUGGAGCAUAGUCCAACCUUCUCAUUCAGUUUAUGAGAAUUGACAGUCAUGUAUUUUUCAUUUAUAGUAGGAAAUUGUUAUAGAGAAACAAAGCCUUAACCUAGUGUUUUUGAGUGCUAGUAGUAGUUAUGAAAGCCCAGGCCCAUGAAUAGCCAUAAUCAAAUCCUUGCAUAGCUUCUGGUCAUCUUGUAUACAGUUUACAUGGUAAAUUCCCCUUGCUGCUCUUCCCUCUGUUACUAUAUUAGUAAGCAAAUAGAAGAUGCAAAAUUAAAGCUUCUAUUAUUGGCUGCAUGUGAGGAAAGGGUAUUCAAAAAUUUCUCAGCAGGACAUUGUUGAUGUAUUAGAUAAACAACUGCUUGAGGGUAUGGGUGUGCUUCUCACUAAGGAAGAGCAACAAAAAUGUGAAGAAAGUGUACAUGUAUUACCAUUAGUUCUUCUCAUUCUGAAUUGGUGAUAGUGAAACAUCUUGUAUAUUGAACUCAUUACUGUAAUUUCAUGAAACAUCUCCUCGGUUUGACUGGCAUGCAUUUUCGCAGCUCCUACCUGGUGGUAAGUGUCAAAGCAACUAUGGAUAGGUAUAAGAAAUCAUGUUCAGAUUCAUCUGGUGCUGGAUUUGCUUCCGAAAUUAAUGUUCAGUAUUACCAGUAAGAAGCAGAAAAACUAUGUGCCCAAAUUAGUAACCUGCAGAAUAACAAAUUUUGAAUGCUAUCGGGAGUUUGAGACAGAUAUUUCAGCAUUUCAACUAGAAAUAAAAAGAGUCAAUAAAUUUCGGUCUAGAUCCAGCAAACUUGCCUUCAUGAAGCAAAGAAGCAGUGUUAAGGAUGAUGUUGAAUUGAAGAAUUAGAAUAUGUAAAUUUUGGUCUAGAUUCAGCAAACUUGACUCCUGCAUGUCUCUUUUUAUAUUUCUUGAUUUGGUUACAGAAUUACCAUGCAAACAUUAAUAUUUUAAUUUGUUUAUGACUUGCUUGUUUAUAGUACUUUUCUUUUAGUU